AGCUAACAAGUCGAGACUGGAAGUCACGUGUCAUGUAGAGGAAGGGAAAACUCACUUUCAAAGGAAUUCGGAGAAUUGUAAAUGGUUUUGCAUGUUUGCCAUCAGAUGUCUCCGUGUAAACCCCAAUUGCCGGCCUUAAUCCUUCAUCAUUGUAUCAUCCUUAAUUUUGUACCAUUCGGAGAGAACUAUGUUGCAAGCUUAUCUUCCUUAAAAUCACAAGUUCAGAUCCAGGACAUGUGAAUCCCAUGGAUUUACAGAUGCGGUGGUUGACCACAAAGGCGAUGACGUGAUCGGAUUGACCGAGUGACCAGCCUUACAUUACCAAACAACACGCGCCAUGUAUUGCGUUCUGAAGUGCGAUCCGGUUUCAUUCUGGCUCCUUUUACGUUACCCGAAACAUCUAUCUCCUCAAAUUAACGUAACAAAACACUCGAAUGGGUCACUGCUGAUGUAUUUUCCAACACGAGUCAAUCCAUGACUGUUUUACACGCCAUAGUAAAAGAGAAAAAGGAGGAAGGGGGAGGGGACACGUAUAAGAAUCCAAGACGCGGUUAGGUUAGUGUUAGUAAGAGCGCGCCGUUUUCAAAACGUGUUGUCAUUUCUAAAUACACUGUCCUAUAUAUACACAUGAACAA